AUGAAUGGGCCAGGCCGGAACCACCUGUUCGUCCCUGGGCCGGUGAACAUCCCGGACCAGGUGAUCCGCGCCAUGAGCCGGCAGAACGAGGACUACCGCUCGCCGGCGAUCCCUGCCCUCACCAAGACCCUGCUGGAGGACGUGAAGAAGAUCUUCAAGACCACCACCGGCACCCCCUUCCUCUUCCCCACCACCGGCACCGGCGCCUGGGAGAGCGCGCUCACCAACACGCUCUCCCCGGGGGACCGGAUCGUGUCCUUCUCGCUGGGGCAGUUCAGCCUGCUGUGGAUCGACCAGCAGCAGCGCCUCGGCUUCAGCGUGGACGUGGUGGAGUCCGACUGGGGCUACGGCGCCGACCUCGGCGCCCUCGAGUCCAAGCUCCGCACUGACUCGCAGCACACCAUCAAGGCCAUCUGCAUCGUCCACAACGAGACCGCCACCGGCGUCACCAACGACCUCCACGCCGUCCGCAAGCUCCUCGGUCCGUCGACCGCGCUCCAUCCAAGCUAA
rnacentral:rRNA from 1 species